AUCUCUCACAAGCUUGUGAUAUGCGGCUUUUUCGACAUGCCACAGAUCCCAAGUUUGGGAUCUGUGGCAUGUCGAAAAAGCCGCAUAUCGAAAGGAAGAAAAAAAUGUUAUUUAUAAAAAUGUUCUUUAGAAAAAAUGUUAUUUAGAAAAAAAAUCGUUCCUGCUCCACGUUCCCGUAGAACAACCUUGUUAUGACUUCGUCGCAAUCACCAGACAAACUUUCAAAACCAAGGGCUCGUACUCUUCUUCAAAGAAAUGUACUUCUUCAAAGAAGAGUACUUCUUCUUCAUAGCAAAAACAAAUACAAUAAAGCACUGUUCUCUUCACCAUAAAGAAGAGCCCUCAACUUUUUCUAGUCCAUACAAUUUUUCCAACGUGACAGGCGGUGUGUACUCUAGAGAAACUUCUAACUUUCACCGUGGCAGGCUCAUCCACGAUUACUAAUGAUUCCGACUUCACAUACCCGAGUUGCAGGGUAUGAUCCGAAAAAAGGAAUGUUUUCCUGAUUGGCGAAGGGCUUUCUUCUGUAUUUAUGCACUUCUUUUUGAGUGCAUAAAUACAGAACCUUGGCAACAAACUGUACAUUCCAUUGUAACACAGGUGUAUCCCAAUACAUAUGGGCCAUGAUGACUAGACGUGAACCCAGAUUAAGGUAAAGCGAGCGAGCGCUUUACUCUCCAGAAACAAAAAAGGUUCUUUGAACACAAUUUUAAAAUUCUGGUAGGGGAGGUGUCCGUAAGAAGCACAAAAAGAGUGCAAAAACGGCAUAGCACCACGGACUGACGACAGCCAUGCAACGCCUGUGUAGAUCUGUUUUUUAUCUAAAAAGAGAAAAAUCUCUCAAUAAAAUUUUAUAUUCGACUUCUUCACCUUC
rnacentral:rRNA from 1 species